rnacentral:rRNA from 1 species
CUAAGAAUCUUCCGCAAUGGGCGAAAGCCUGACGGAGCGACGCCGCGUGAACGAAGAAGGCCGUGAGGUUGUAAAGUUCUUUUCGGGAGGGGGAACAACCGUGGCAGGGAAUGGCCGCGGGAUGACGUGAAUCCCGGAAUAAGCCCCGGCUAACUACGUGCCAGCAGCCGCGGUAACACGUAGGGGGCGAGCGUUGUUCGGAAUCAUUGGGCGUAAAGGGCGUGCAGGCGGUCCUGCAAGUCCGGCGUGAAAGACCCCGGCCCAACCGGGGGGGCGCGCUGGAAACUGGAGGGCUUGAGUACAGGAGGGGAUGCCGGAAUUCCAGGUGUAGGGGUGAAAUCUGUAGAUAUCUGGAAGAACACCAAUGGCGAAGGCAGGCAUCUGGCCAUGUACUGACGCUGAGACGCGAAGGUGCGGGGAGCAAACAGG